AAGGGACUUCGGUCCCCGAGUAAAGCGGCGGGGUGAGUAACGCGUGGGUAAUCUGCCUGCGAGACCGGGACAACCUGGCGAAAGCCGGGCUAAUACCGGAUAAGCCCACGGGGGCUGCGGCCCCUGCGGGAAAAGGUGCCCUCUCCAUGGAAGGUACCGCUCGUGGAUGAGCCCGCGUCCGAUUAGYUAGUUGGUGAGGUAACGGCUCACCAAGGCUGAGAUCGGUAGCUGGUCUGAGAGGACGAUCAGCCACACUGGGACUGAGACACGGCCCAGACUCYUMCGGGAGGCAGCAGUGGGGAAUAUUGSGCAAUGGGGGAAACCCUGACGCAGCAACGCCGCGUGGGUGAUGAAGGCCUUCGGGUCGUAAAGCCCUGUCGGGUGGGACGAAUCGGUCGCGGGUGAACAACCCGCGAUUUUGACGGUACCACCAAAGGAAGCACCGGCUAACUCCGUGCCAGCAGCCGCGGUAAU
rnacentral:rRNA from 1 species